rnacentral:rRNA from 1 species
CACACGACUCUCGGCAACGGAUAUCUCGGCUCUCGCAUCGAUGAAGAACGUAGCGAAAUGCGAUACCUGGUGUGAAUUGCAGAAUCCCGCGAACCAUCGAGUCUUUGAACGCUAGUUGCGCCCGAGGCCACUCGGCCGAGGGCACGCCUGCCUGGGCGUCACGC